UUCGAAGCAGGCGCGACGUUCAUCUUCGGCUCCUGGGCCUGCAUGCGAUGGCGCUGAAGGCUUCCACUGCCACAUGGAGGCCCCGGAGGAGAAGUUUUACGAAAUCAACCUUCAUCGCCAAGCUUUGGAGGAAUUCGUUGAAAGAUUCAACGAAAUUUUUGACCUGUUCCAAGGAUCGAGAAGCAAGUCCAAGUACUACUCGGGCCCUACAUCUACUCGGAUCAGUUCUCACGAGUCGGCAUUCCAGCCAUCGUGCAAAUUGAUUCAAACUCCGAGUCAAUUCCCGUUCGGAUUCCGUAACGCAGCUGCCACCUAUCAAGCAGGCCUGUCUAGAUUGC
rnacentral:lncRNA from 1 species